AGCCCAAGGUGUUCUUCAAUUUUCUGAGAAGCUCUCAUCAAAUCGUUCCUUCACUCCUCGAUCGCAUCUCUCUGUCUUUCUCUCUAGUUCUGCCAUGGACGACCUUCCCGUAGAGAAGAUAGCAAUAUCGGGCCCAACCUUAGCCUCCCUGAUGCAACGGUUUUCCUCCUCAACAGGUCCCAUCGACGGUCUCCUCUUCGGCCACGUGUCCUUCCUCACACCCUCAACCCUCUCCGACGACUCCACCACCACCUCCUCCUCCUCCUCCUCAGAAACCCUAAUCGCUACCGUCACCUCCUUCCUCUCCUCCUCCUCCACUUCCCUCUCCUUCUACUCCCCCUCUGGCCGUGUCAACCCUUCUCACCUCGCCCCCUCCUCCUCUUCCUCCCUCCUUGGCUGGUUCUCUGCUCGCCGCAAAUCUCCUCUCCGUCCCUCCAUGCGCGAAUUCUCCGUCUCCGAAUCUCUCUCCUCUCUGCCCAACCUUUCCUUCCCCAUCCUCAACUCCUCCUCCUCCCUCUCCCCUUGCAUUUUCCUCCUCCUCACCACUCCGAUCCCUGACCAAGCCAUACACACUCACGAGUACCGUGCGUACCAAUUCCGCGCCUCCACUGAAUCCUUCGACCCCAAGUCCGUCGACAUCGUCAAUAUCGGCCCCGCGUUCCGUGGCCACUAUGGCGCUUUUAGCCCUAACUCCAACUUUCCAUCAUUGGCCUGCGAGUUGAGGAGUUCAGCCAUGGUUGAGGACAAGAAGGAGGAGGAAGAGAGCUCGAGUCGGGUUAAGCAGGCGGCCGAGGACCAGAGGCAUCUCGAUCAGUGUGCCGAAGGGUUCGAGAUCGGGAGAUUGAGUCUCAUGAUCGGUUCCGAGGCCACCAAUUAUACGACCGGGUUGGAGGAUUUGUACGAGAAGAUGCUCGCCAAGAUCGAGAACUUGGCGAGGGAAGUGGAGUUGAGCUCUGCUAAGGUUUUUGAGCAGGAAAAUCACAAUAGGAAGUUGAGGCAGAAAGCUGCUCGGUACGCUGGAUCAGAGUAACUUCCAUAGCCCUGGCGUCUAUUUUUAUUAUUCUAUACGAGGCCUGUCACUAUGUUUUUCGGAUACAAAAAGUUUUAAUAUCGUGCUGCUACAUAGAUGAUCUAGUCAAAAUGCCAGUGUUUUAGGUUCUGGAUUAAGGGAUUAUCAUCUUGAUUGAGCAGUUCUCCGGUUGUGAAAAGACAUCUAAAACAGAUAUUGUUGUGUAGUCCAUAAGCACCACUUAAUCUGGAAAACUGAAUGAUUAUAUCUUGAAGCGUACUGGUAAGAGAUCCUGGAACUGCUAGCAAGACGCCCCGCAGUUUGAUCUGAGGGUGACAUUUGAGCUGAAGAUGGCUGAUAACCACGGAACCACAGUUUUAUAUGUCAUUUUGUUGUGGUUUAUGGUUGUUUUUAUGACGAAGGAUGGCAUAAUUUUGCCUAUAUCGUCAAGUCAUGUGUGUUAUCCUUGCUUUGUUCGUCUUUUGCUGUUGAAAUUCCUUUCUUUUUUUGUUUUUUGUUUUUUAUAUAAUUUCCGAAAUUCGUUCUGGUUUUAUCUGCUUGCUUUUUAACUGCCAAAAGAAUAUCUCUUAGCCAGCCCAUGUUGUAGAGGAUUAGAGUUGUCAUUCAACCUUGGCCUGCUUGAUUUAAUGUCUUAAUGGUUUCGAGGAAUUUUUGGUGCUCGCAUGUUCGAGAUUUCUAGCUCCCAAACAUAAAUAUAGGAAAUAUUGUUGACGGU